GCUUCGUGGCUGUGAUACUUCUCAUACUGGGAAGGACCCAUGGAGAUUCCGUGACUCAAACAGAAGGCCAAGUGACUGUCUCAGAAAGCAAGUCCCUGAUAAUAAAUUGCACGUAUUCAGCCACAAGCAUAGGUUACCCUAAUCUUUUCUGGUAUGUUCGAUAUCCUGGAGAAGGUCUACAACUCCUCCUGAAAGUCAUUACGGCUGGCCAGAAGGGAAGCAGCAGAGGGUUUGAAGCCACAUACAAUAAAGAAGCCACCUCCUUCCACUUGCAGAAAGCCUCAGUGCAAGAGUCAGACUCGGCUGUGUACUACUGCGCUCUGAG
rnacentral:lncRNA from 1 species